GACGAACGCUGGCGGCGUGCCUAAUACAUGCAAGUAGAACGCUGAAGAAAGGAGCUUGCUUCUUUUGGAUGAGUUGCGAACGGGUGAGUAACGCGUAGGUAACCUGCCUUGUAGCGGGGGAUAACUAUUGGAAACGAUAGCUAAUACCGCAUAACAGCUUUUGACACAUGUUAGAAGCUUGAAAGAUGCAAUUGCAUCACUACGAGAUGGACCUGCGUUGUAUUAGCUAGUAGGUAGGGUAACGGCCUACCUAGGCGACGAUACAUAGCCGACCUGAGAGGGUGAUCGGCCACACUGGGACUGAGACACGGCCCAGACUCCUACGGGAGGCAGCAGUAGGGAAUCUUCGGGCAAUGGGGGCAACCCUGACCGAGCAACGCCGCGUGAGUGAAGAAGGUUUUCGGAUCGUAAAGCUCUGUUGUAAGUAGAAGAACGUGUGUGAGAGUGGAAAGUUCACACAGUGACCGGUAAUUACCGAGAAAGGGACGGC
rnacentral:rRNA from 1 species